rnacentral:rRNA from 1 species
UACGUAGGCAGCGAGCGUUGUUCGGAGUUACUGGGCGUAAAGGGUGUGUAGGCGGUUGUUUAAGUUUGGUGUGAAAUCUCCCGGCUCAACUGGGAGGGUGCGCCGAAUACUGAAUGACUUGGAGUGCGGGAGAGGAAAGUGGAAUUCCUGGUGUAGCGGUGAAAUGCGUAGAUAUCAGGAGGAACACCGGUGGCGAAAGCGCUCAUCUGGCCCGAUACUGACGCUGAAGCACGAAAGCUAGGGGAGCAAACGGG